rnacentral:rRNA from 1 species
UACGUAGGGUCCGAGCGUUGUCCGGAAUUACUGGGCGUAAAGGGCGCGUAGGCGGCCUCCGCAAGUCAGUUGUGAAAUCUCCGAGCUUAACUCGGAAAGGUCAACUGAUACUGCGGGGCUAGAGUGCGGAAGGGGCAACUGGAAUUCUUGGUGUAGCGGUGAAAUGCGUAGAUAUCAAGAGGAACACCUGCGGCGAAGGCGGGUUGCUGGGCCGACACUGACGCUGAGGCGCGAAAGCGUGGGGAGCAAACAGG